rnacentral:antisense_RNA from 20 species
UGUGGACUAGUAUGGACUAUGCAAGGAAAACGCUUUGCCAAUACACAACAUUUUAAUGUCAGCAAUACCAACGGGGAGCAGGUGAUAAAAUUCAGGAAUUACAGAAGGAAAAAUGAUUGGUGCGUCUGAAUGGACUCGAACCAUCGACCCCCACCA